rnacentral:rRNA from 1 species
UGCCGGACCUGACUGCUAUGGGGGUUGGGUUAAGCUAUGCGAGUGGAGCGGACUUAGCCAUGAUAGUCCGCCGCACACGGCUCAGUAACACGUAGUCAACUUACCCUUCGGACAGGGACAUCCCCGGGAAACUGGGGCUAAUCCCCGAUAGGGAUCUGCAGCUGGAACGCCCAGACACCAAAAUAGGAAGCUCUCAUGCGAGCUCCUCUGCCGAAGGAUAGGACUGCGACCUAUCAGCUUGUAGGUAGUGUAAAGGACUACCUAGGCGAUAACGGGUACCGGCGAUGUAAGUCGGAGCCGGGAGAAGGACACUUAGACAAGGGUCCUGGCACUACGGUGCGCAGCAAGCGCGAAACCUCUGCAAUACGCGAAAGCGUGACAGGGUAACCCCCAGUGCUCGCCUCUAAAGCGAGCUUUUCUUCAGCUUAGUGACCUGGAGGAAUAAGGUGAGGGCAAGGCUGGUGCCAGCCGCCGCGGUAAAACCAGCUCAUCAAGUGGUCUGGACCAUUAUUGAGGCUAAAGCGUCCGUAGAUGUUCUAGCAAAUUCCUGGUUAAAUCCGUCUGCCUAACAGACGGGCUGCUAGGGAGACUACUAGAAUAGGAGACGGGAGAGGCCGAGGGUACUACGCGGGCAGGGGUGGAAUCCUAUAAUCCGCGUGGGACCACCAGUGGCGAAGGCGCUCGGCUAGAACGUGCUCGACAUUGAGGGACGAAACCUGAGGGAGAGAUCCGGAUUAGAUACCCGGGUAUUCUCAGGUGUAAACGAUGCCGAUUAGGUGUUGGCCCGGCCUUGAGCCGCGCCAGUGCCGCAGCGAAGGCGUUAAAUCGGCCCCUUGGGAAGUACGGCCGCAAGGUUGAAACUUAAAGGAAUUGGCGGGGGAGUACCACAAGGCGUGAAGCCUGCGGUUUAAUUGGACCCAACGCCGCGAAACUCACCAGGGGCGACAGCAGAAUGAGGGUCAAGCUAAUGACUUUACCUGACAGGCUGAGAGCUGGUGCAUGGCCGUCGUCAGCUCGUGCCAUGAGGUGUCUGCUUAAGUGCAGCAACGAGCGAGACCCCUACCUUCAGUUGCUAUCAACAAGAGAAAUCUUGAUGAGCACACUGAGUGGACCGCCAGCGAUAAGCUGGAGGAAGGCAGGGGCAACGGCAGGUCAGUAUGCCGCGAAUCUCCUGGGCCACACGCGGGCUGCAAUGAUCGGGACAAUGGGCCUCCUACUCCGAAAGGAGACGGCAAUCCCUAAACCCGACCUCAGUUGGGAUCGGGGGCUGCAACUCGCCCCCGUGAACCUGGAAUGCCUAGUAACCGCGUCUCAACAUGGCGCGGUGAAUACGUCCCUGCUCCUUGCACACACCGCCCGUCGCUCCACGAGAGUCGGCUUUGGGCGAGACGCAGUCCUUCGGGUUGCUUCGAACCCUGGGUCGGUAAUCGGGGAGAAGUCGUAACAAGGUA